UGAGGAAUAUUGGUCAAUGGACGCAAGUCUGAACCAGCCAUGCCGCGUGCAGGAAGACGGCUCUAUGAGUUGUAAACUGCUUUUAUACGGGAAUAACCAUGAUUACGUGUAAUCAUCUGAAUGUACCGUACGAAUAAGCACCGGCUAACUCCGUGCCAGCAGCCGCGGUAAUACGGAGGGUGCAAGCGUUAUCCGGAUUUAUUGGGUUUAAAGGGUGCGUAGGCGGAAAAGUAAGUCAGUGGUGAAAUCUUGCAGCUUAACUGUAAAACUGCCAUUGAUACUGUUUUUCUUGAGUAUAGUUGAGGUAGGCGGAAUGUGUAAUGUAGCGGUGAAAUGCUUAGAUAUUACACAGAACACCGAUUGCGUAGGCAGCUUACUAAACUAUAACUGACGCUGAGGCACGAAAGCGUGGGGAGCGAACA
rnacentral:rRNA from 1 species